rnacentral:lncRNA from 12 species
GUAACUUGUCACUGGGGCUCCAUUACUCUGUUGGGUGAGACCUGUACUGGGAAUUUAUUAUUCACACUUCUGUGCUCCAAGAUGGGGAUUGGCAAACGUGCAGUAGCAGAUGAGGGUUUCUGGUGUAAACUGAGGUGACAGGAGAGUGAAGAGGUGUGGGGACAGCCAUUAGCUAGACAUCUAGCAAGAGAAAUAUUUGUUGGAGCUGGGUUUUUUCUUCCCGUGUUUACAAACGAUCAAGUGAUGUGCUAAAUGUGUUCAGUGACCUAUAUAGGGAUGGAAAUUAGGCAGAAUUUUAAUAAAAAUCAGAAAUGCACAUUUUGGCUUUUCUUUUUUUUCCCCCCCACCAGGUAAAUAUUCAAGAGCUUAAUGUUAGUCUAGAGCAGGUUUGGCGCUGGGUUCCUGAAGAGCAGCAGAGUUUUAAGCGAGGUGAGGAGACGCUGCGUGAGGGGAAUGCGGACAAACGGCACGGGCCCAGCGCCAGGGGGAAAAGAGAAAUAAAUUUAAGCUGUGGCUUGAGGGUAUGGACGGCAACUUCACGCGAUAAAGGCGCAUUCGAGGACGCAAGCAGCAUACUCAAAGCUGAUUGGGUAAACGUGACCUUGAGUGAGAAUUUAUCCACGCGCGCACACGCACAAAGGGGAGUUUGCAGGGCUCAGCUCCCUCUCCUGGUGCUAUCAUACUUACCCUCCUUCUAGACCAUCCUCUGCACUGACGUCAAACCCAUCUGGCAUCUCCAAGGAGCAGCUUGUGGUUGCAUCUGUGUUUCUUCUCUCCUCCCAGCAGAAAAAGAUGCUUCAUUGCCCAAAACCCCUAGAAAAAUUACUGCUG